rnacentral:lncRNA from 13 species
AUGGCGUCCGGGCGCGGGGCCCCGCCCUGUCGCGGUCCCUGCCUCCUUCGGUUCCUUAGGGAAGCUGGACUGCGCCGUGUCUUCCUGAAGAACGUUGUGGGAAGGGUCCUGCCCGCAGACACGACGGCAGCCGGCAGCCGGGUGGGAUGCGCGGGGGUGGAAUGCCUGGGGCAUAGGGCCGAGCCACCGCCUGGCACACCAGGAGCUGCGGGGCUUCGGGAAGCACAGCUCUGCAGGCGGGCCCUUCGGAGGCCCCGCCCAGGGGGCACUGCGGCAGUUUCCAUGGUGAUGGUCAACAAGCCUGAAAGUGCCUCAGCUACUACGGCCACGUACCCUGCGUUUCUUUUUCCCUUUUCCGAGAGACCACUGAGGCUGGAGUGCAGUGGCAAGAUCUCAGUUCACUACAACCUAUGCCUCCCAGGUUCAAGCAAUUCUCCUGCCUCAGCCUCCCUACUAGACAGGAUUACAGGUAAGAAGGUUUACCUGGUUCCUGUUACUCAAUCCAUCUUGUUCAGAAGUGGAUAA